UUUCAAUCUCCUUUUAGGUGGCCAUAAAGAAGAUUUUUCUUCAAAACAGAGAGCAGGAAAAGGAUAAAGUUGUAAAUGAAGUUGUGGUCCUGAAGAGAAUGAGGCACCCCAAUAUUGUUGACUAUAUAGACAGCUACCUUUUCAAUGAAGAACUCUGGCUGGUGAUGAAAUAUGUGGAAGGAUGUACCUUAGGAGCUGUGGUUUCCAAGCAAUCUCUGGAGGAAGCGAUGAUAGCCGCUAUCAGUAAAGAGGUAAGGGAUGCUGCUCGUGCUUCUGAUGGCUUGGACAGGAUGGUUCUUUG